CACACCAUGGGAGUUGGNUGCACCAGAAGUAGGUAGCUUAACCUUCGGGAGGGCGCUUACCACGGUGUGGUCAAUGACUGGGGUGAAGUCGUAACAAGGUAGCCGUAGGGGAACCUGCGGCUGGAUCACCUCCUUACCAACGCUGGCCCGUCGGGGCGUUGGAGCACCCCCACAAGUUAUCUAAACGCAGGGUCGGCAGGCCCGCACACCAUUGGGUCUGUAGCUCANUUGGUUAGAGCGCACCCCUGAUAAGGGUGAGGUCGUUGGUUCAACUCCAACCAGACCCACCAAUCUUGCGGGGCCAUAGCUCAGCUGGGAGAGCGCCUGCUUUGCACGCAGGAGGUCGGGAGUUCGAUCCUCCCUGGCUCCACCACAGAGUCAAGCGGCUCACGGCUUCGCGUAAGUCGUGAGCGGCUUCGCAUCUGGCGAGCACGAGUUCUUUAACAAUUUGGUUUGAUCGUAGAAGGCACUGACCGCGUGUGAUGCGUGGUCAGUCGCGUUGCGAAUGUCAGCCCAUGAAUCCCAAAGCAUUUGGGGUUAUAUGGUCAAGUGAACAAGCGCAGACGGUGGAUGCCUAGGCGGUAAGAGGCGAUGAAGGACGUAGUAGCCUGCGAAAAGCUUCGGGGAGCUGGCAAACAAGCAUUGAUCCGGAGAUGU
rnacentral:misc_RNA from 1 species